CUCUCUCCUGGAUGUCCGGUGGGGGGCGGGGCUCUCCCGCUCCUUAGGAGGUUGUCUCUGGGUUCAACGGUUGGGGGAGAGUCCCCCAGGCUGGUUGGGGGGAGGGCUCCAUAUUUGGAGAUCUCUUCCCCUGCCGGCGGGGGGGGGGGGUGUCGGGUGUCUCAGGAGUUAGGGGCCGCCCCCACCCCGGUCAGGGGUUGAACAGCCGCCCUCCAUCCAGGGCUGUCUCUCCGCGCGGGCUGUGCCCCAGUACUCGGGCAGCGCUGGGGGGCCGCUGUGCGACGGGCGCCGCGAGCCACGUUCUCACAGCUCCCACCACCGGGCCUGGGCAGGGAGCUUCGGGCCCGACACAGGCUCAGCCUGGCACGCGGCCGCUUUUCCAAGAAGCUUGAGCCCCGCGCGCUGCCGUCCGGGCCCCGCCAGCCGAGCCCAGGAGGUUCGCGCGGCGCGCCCCGGCUCCGUAGGUCCCGGGCACUCCCGCAGCGGAUCGGAGCAGGCCGGCUCCCUCGCCUGCACCCCACCAUGUCCGCCCUCGCCAAGGCCUCCGGCGUCCUCAAGUCGGUGGACUAUGAAGUGUUUGGCCGGGUGCAGGGUGUUUGUUUCAGAAUGAUGAUGUCUAAUAAUCCCAUGAUGUGGAAGUUUGGUCUCUGCAGCUCAGAUCCCACCCAAGCUUCUCCACCAGUUCUGAACCUGUAGCAGGAGCAUUACAAUUCAAAAGAAAGGCAGAAACUCAGAAAACAAGAGGACACGUUUCACAAAGUGGAAAUAGCUAGAAUACUGUAUUUUCUGAAAAUACUGACCUAUGUUUAAUAUUAAACAUAAAGCUUUUUCAAUAUAUGGUUAUACUUGUAAAACAGCUAAAAGAUGAAAUGGCUGAAGGACUUAGAGUAUAACAUAUGUCUUGAAUUUAGUGACAUCAUUCAUUCUACCCAGUCAGCUCUGGUCUAUCUCUGGUACUCUGGGCUCCUGUGCUGAGUUGCCACUCCAUCAGAUAUAUGGUCCAUUGCUUUGUGCUAAGUUACUGUUAACUUGGAAGUGCGAAUCUAUGUCUGUGUGUGAUUGAAAGUCAUGACAUCCUCCCAUGCCUGCUUUAUAUUUAAGUGGAGAGAAGUGAGUAUUGAGUGUUUUGUGUGAGGAAACAACAAGUCUAUGCCUCUCUUAUAUUUUGAUGCUUUAUCUGCAGGCAAAUAUAACUAAAUAGACAAUUUAAAAAUUCUCUUUGUUACUGUUUAACAGAUGCGACUGAAGACAGUAAAACACUGAAAUUGUACUGAUAAUGUCUAAACAGGAACAGUUCUCCAGUGAACUAAUCAAUAAUGACUGUUCAUUCAUAGCAGCCUAGGCCAGCCCAGUUGAGUGAAUACGAAGUAUACUACAAUAUAGUCCCCAGAGGCUAAUAGCCAAAUCUGAGUGCAAUAUAUGCAACUGGAUAAAGAUAUAUAAAGAGAGAGCCUCUAUGCAUACUCUGGUAUAUUAGUGUAUUAUUGAGCCACAUGUAAAACAGAGUGGAAAACUCCCAACUAUAUCUUUGAAAACUGCAUUAAAGUUCACAAUAGUGGUGAGUCUGACUAUACUCUGCAGUGCAGCAUGUAAACAUGAGAUGCAUGUUUGCACACAGAUUGUUUCUCCUUGAUUGAUUUAGAAAAGAUGUAGAUAGUUAAAAUACCUGUGAUAUCUAUAUUUAUACAACUGAUGUCUGAGAAGUAGAAGAACAUGUGUUGGCGAAUAUUGAUUGACUUAUUCCAUCCAAAGAAGAAAGAGUAAUUCUUUGCUGGAUUUCAGAGAGGUGGACUUCCUAUUCUGUGCAGUUUUGUGGUUUUAGAACAUGUAUAUUUAAAGAUACACAUACGUUACUUAAGUAUGAGAGAGAUAGAUAAUACAGAAUAGCAAAACUUAAAAAAUAGUGGAGAUAAACUGAAGUGGCUGAAGCCAGCUCAGGAAGUGAAUAAGUGACAAUCAGCAUAAAUUCACAAUAAUAAUGUAUUGCAAAAAGAGUCAUAUUAACAACUUGAACAAUUAACUGGACUUCAAUCUUUAUUGCUACCACAAUUCCCUCUUCUUCAAGUGUUUUGUUCUUCAUUUACUUCUCAAGGCAAGUUACUAAUUAUUUUGACAGUUUGCUUGAAGAUGGGAUGUCAUAGCUCCUUAAGGAAGUGUAGCAAAUUCAGAAGUGCUUUAACAAAAGAUGAAGUUUUUACAGGCUUUUGUUUUUUGCUGCCAGUGUUAUUUCUUCAAAGUGGCAGCUAUGGGGUGAUGUGGAAGACCCUUGACCUCUGCACAAGAUGAUAACAUAUGUUGAAAAUUGUUAAAAUGGAGAGUAUAGAUUUUUUUGUCUUCUCCCCAGAUGGAACCAUCAAUAGGUUCUGACAUAGCAUGAGAAAAUUAUCCCAAAGAAGCAAUACUGCUACUUGCCUUAUUGCCUGCAGUGUAACUUGGAAGUGGCGUCAAGGGAUGAUGUUAUGAUAAACACUGAUAAGCACAAGGGGGAUAAGUCUCACUUUCUUGUUGAAAAAUUGUCUGCUUCUGCUGCAAGUCCAGAACCGGCAGGAAAAUCCUGAUGUUUGGUACACAGAAGAAGAAGCUAGGAAAAUGGGAGUAGUUGGCUGGGUUAAAAAUACCAGACAAGGGACUGUUACUGGCCAAGUUCAGGGCCCAGAAGAUAAAGUAAAUGCAAUAAUUUUCAGCACUUUUUUUUUCAGCCCAAAGUCACAUUCUCCUGGACCUUUACACGUUACUUGUUUUACAAAUAAAGGUUUUUGACAAGUAUUGGAAAAGAAAGGAAAAGAAAAGAAAGAAAUGCAUACUUCUUCAAGUGGGCUCACCAUCCGAACCUGGAGGGACUUCCUGUAAAGGCAUGGCUCCUUCAUGGUUCCAUCAUAAUGAACUAACCUGUUUUGAACAGGUUAAACACGUAUUACUAAACAGUAGAAGACCAACCACAUGCAAUGCUUACCUUCCGAAAUGGAAAAGGUUCUACAUAUGGUGCCAAAACAAACAAAGUAAUGCAGUUUCUGCUCCUUUGCCCAUGAUAUUGGAUUAUAUCUUGGAACUGAAAAAAUCUGGGCUUUGCAUUAAUUCAGUCAUAGUACAUCUCACAGGUAUUGCCACCUUCCCCCACAAGAUUGAUGGGGCAUCGCUAUUUGCACACCCAAUUACCAAACAUUUUGCACACCCGAUUACCAAGAACAUUUACCCCAAAGUAUGCGCACCCACGAUCCUGGGACUUGAACCUAGUAUUAUGCUGCCUCACUGGGCCUCUAUUUGAACCCUUAGUGAUGUUCUCUGACACACCUAUCAAUAAAGGUAGCAUUCUUAGUGGCUAUCACAUCAGCUUGUCAUGUGGGUGAGCUAGGGGCAUAUAUACCCUAUACCAACAUUUUCAAGGACAAGGUCACCUAAGACCUCAUCCAAAAUUCCUACCUUAAAUAUCUCUUCUUUCCACAUAAAUCAGCCAGUCCAUCUCCCUCAUUCUUCCCCAAACCACACAAGAGUACACAAGAUUCAGUACUACGCACUCUUGACGUCAGGCGCGUGCUAGCAUCUUUCUCAGGCUUUUCAUUUCCACUACAGACAUUCUAAAGGCUCCACUUUCUCUACACAAAGACUAUCAAAAUGGAUCUCUGGAUGCAUUCACCUCUGCUAUCAACAAAAGAACCUAAAACCCCCACUGGGGGUCAGAACUCACUCUACCCAAUCCCUUUCAACUUCAGUAGCCUUUCUCAACAACAUAUUGAUCAUAGACAUAUGUAGAACAGCCACUGGGCCUCUGCACACACAUUUACGAAACUAUGCAAAUGACCAGAGCUCAAGAUCGGAUGCACUGUUAGGUAUAACGGUGAUAUCAUCACUUACUCAAGCAACUCCGAAGCCCAUUCCGUCCAACCUGGGGCACUGCUCUACAAUCACCUGAAGUGGAGCACCCAAAGGAACAUCAUUCGAAGAAGAAUCUUUAGCCAAAUGUUUAUCCUUCAGUAUUGACCCUUAUUGAUCCAGUGGAGUUAACUCUUUAAAUAAGUGCCUUUUAUGACUCCUAUAAUUUUUGUAUUAGAUACAGUUUAAGGCCAUGAUCCAAAGCCCAUGGAGGUGAAAGAAAAUAUUCCCAUUGACUUCAGUGGCCUUUGGAUCAGGCCCAAAAUCUUGAAUUCCACCAUUCAGUAAUACAGGAGGAUGAAUGUAAUUACUUACAGUCACUUUUAUAGAUAAUGACCUUCUAUGUACUGCAUUCUGCCUAAUAUAAGUAGACUUAUUUUUUCCUCAUUUUAUUUUGUUAUACUGUUCACUACUUUCCCAUAGAGACUCAAGUGUAUUACAAUGAAUAGAUUGUACCAUCUAUUGAGUCUUAGUAGAAUGAGUUUCUUGUGAUUCCUCUCUGAAUAUGAAAUUAAUAUUUUUGGAACUCUGUUCUCCAAUAUGCUGUCUUCCAUUGAAUUCAUAUUCAUUCGAUCUAGGACAGGAAGUGAAGGAAAUUGCUAUUGACUGAUGAAACUUUAUUAAAUUUUACAAGGAGCUCUGGUUUCUGAUUUCCUCAGGAGAAUGAGAUAGGAGUGCUCCGCAGGCCUUGUGCUCAGUCCUUAUGGGGAUGGAGCAUCUUGCAGUUCUCUUUAGCUUUCUCUGGUGAAAUUUAGGUUGUGUCACUGAAUAUUCCACUCAGCCUCCCAACCUGGAAAAAAUGAUUAAGUUUUUUAGAACUCUAGAGGCCCCCAGAGGAUCUAGUCAUAAAAAGAAUAAGCCUUUCUUUAUGCACGUCCUCUCUCAGUCUUAGUUAAAGUUGAUUGUAGUUCAGCAGAGAUGAAUACAUCUAAGAAAAAAAUUUAAAUGCAAACAUCAGUAAGUAGAAAGGUAUGACAGCAUAUGGCACAAGGAGGAGAUUUGGGAGUUAUCAUAAAUGUUAGAAUCUUUAUUCCAGUUUGGUGCUGCGAAGGAAGUAGACAGAAUGCUGAGUAACAUUGCUUUGGGAAAUGGAGUAAAAUAAAUCAAACAAAGUAUAACUGCUAUUGUGCAAGACUGAUCAGAAACACAAUUUUUUGAUAAAAGAGUUAGAUUUCUACCAAAUCCAUUCAAAUUAUGUAAUAUUUUUAUAUAAAUUAUGAUCCAUCUCUUCUAAAUCCUAAUCUCUGAAUCUGUAUUUUGGGGUGUUAGUUCACUUCCUUUCAGUGCUCUGCUUUCUUUGAAGCAUAUGAGCAAGGUAAGAGAACCAGUUAGAGGGACUAAGCUAGUAGAUUCUGCAGUGUGAGAGCAGCAUAAGCAAUGUUCCUAACCCAUAGUGCAGAGGCUGGAAUUGUGAUAACAGAGAGAAAGGAAAAUGAAGGGAAGGCACCUCAGAGAAAUCUGUUUAUGUGGAUGAAGACUAAGCAGAAAAGGAAGGGAGAAUAGUAGGAACACAGUGUGGUGAGGAAAUGGUUAAUGGUCAGACAGCAAAAGGCAGAAAGAAAUGAGAAGAGGAGGGAGGCAGGAGGAAAAUGUGGCAGAAGAGAAAGAAGAUAGAGAAAGCAAGAUGAAAUGAGAGAAAAGAUAAGAGAAUGGGAUGAGAGCUCAGACAAGAGACCAAGUGAGAGGAUAAACAGAGGGAAAAAAGCAAAAAG